CAGAGGGGGGGGCUGGGGGUCCUUGAGCACCUGCCCUUUUUGCUCCUUGCCCUAAAGUGCCCUUUUGGUCCAAUUUUUUUUUUUUUUUUUUUUUUUUUAAAGUUAAUUUCCCAAGCCCUCUUCUGAUAUGUACUAAAAUUAUUAUUUUUUGUUGUUGUUGUUUUUAUUUAAAGAAAAACAACAUAAUAAGCCCUUCGGGUCACCUUGUUACCUUUGACCUUUUGUCCGUGACGCAUGACGCAGCUGCCUCCCGCUCAGUCAGUGAGACUGCGCAGUAGCUUACUGCGGAGCUCAACGUGGAGGAGGAAGGAAGGAAAAUUCAAAGAUGCCACGUAAAGAAAGACGGCAGAAACAAAAAAGAAAAGAAUUGAUAGAUGCAGCAAAAGGUAGUGGAUUGUUGACCGACUGGGUCAGAACGAGUACUGCAGAUGGACAGAAGGAAAGUGAUAGAUCAGAGGAGGAGACAAAAAUGCAGUCAACAACACAGGAAGACAGGCAAGGAGAGGGACAACAGUCAGAAAUAAACACUAUGGAUGAAAAUGCAGAGCAACAAGUCUUUUUUUUUUUAUAAAUUACAGUACACUAAAAGGUUGUAUUGUGCCCUUGUUUAUAUUUUUAAUAGUGUAACUCUGUAAAGACAAAAUAUGUAAAUCGGAGCUAAACCAUCAGCUCUGAUUUACAUAUUUUGCUAAAUUGCGGGUUUGAAUAUUGCAAUACUUUCCUAUAACAAAAUAGACCUGCAGAAAGAAAUUACUAAUAAAAUAUCUAACAUA